rnacentral:misc_RNA from 1 species
AAAAAAAGAGAUUUUAGAAAGGGCCAAAAAAUCUCCAAAAUAACAUCACCGCAGCCAAAAGACUUCAGCCUUCUUUUCUCAAAUCUCCUGCAACACCACUCCAUGCUCUCUUUUCUGUACACAACUCCACUCUCUUUUCUCUACACAGCUACCAUCACCCAUUUCUUUAUUUUCUUGCUCCUUUUCCUUUCUCUCUAAUAAUGUCCAAUAGCAUCUCAUACUCUUUUUUUUAGAGGUCCCCCAUUUCCACGAACAAAGUACCAUUGAGCCUUCGUUUCUUCAUAAAUCAAGGAAUCAUUCCUGUUAAGCUUUCAAGGAAUCAGAGGUACUAGUGGUAGAACAACUAUGUUUUCUUUGGCUGGCAAAACCACCCUUUCCAUCUCCAGAUCAUACAUUGUAGUGUGGUUUUUGGUAUAAAUCUGAUUACUUAAGUCUCUAUUAAAGAAUAAUUUCUGGUUCAUCUUAGUUGAGUUGUUAUCCCAAAAUAACUUUUUGCUUAAUUUCUAAGGAAUUUUUGUUUGAGUAGGACCCAUUUAAUUAUUAAUGUUUGUGGGUAUCUUUUGUGAACUGUUAAAAUAGGUUAUAAUGGGUUGAUUAGUUGAAAUGAGA